rnacentral:rRNA from 1 species
UACGUAGGGGGCUAGCGUUGUUCGGAAUUAUUGGGCGUAAAGGGCUCGUAGGCGGUUUGUCGCGUCGGGAGUGAAAACACCGGGCUUAACUCGGUGCUUGCUUUCGAUACGGGCAGACUAGAGGCAUGCAGGGGAGAACGGAAUUCCUGGUGUAGCGGUGAAAUGCGCAGAUAUCAGGAGGAACACCGGUGGCGAAGGCGGUUCUCUGGGCAUGUCCUGACGCUGAGGAGCGAAAGUGUGGGGAGGCGAACGGG